rnacentral:lncRNA from 1 species
AUGGCGAAGGGCGUGGGCGGGCGAAACCUAUCGCCCGCAGCCCUUGACGCUGUGCCUUAUUGGCACUAUGGCGAAGGGCGUCGGCGGGCGAAACAUAUUCGCCCGCAGCCCUUGACGCCGUGCCUUAUUGGUACUAUGGCGAAGGGCGUGGCGUGUGGCGAAAUCUCUUCACCCGCAGCCCUUGACGCCGGUCUAGGUGUGGCGGAACCUAUUCGCCCCCAGCCCUUGACGCUGUACCUUAUUGGUAUUGCGGCGAAGGGCCUAGGUGUGGCGAAACCUGUUCGCCCACAGCCCUUGACGUCGUACCUUAUUGGUAACAUGGCGAAGGGUGUGGGUGUGGUGAAAGACUCCCAUUUCAGUAUUUUAGUCUGGGUUCCCCAUGGACGGCGUCAGCUGUUGUCGAAUGGACAAUUGCGUCACGUCGAAGGACGUGGUUGCUCAACAGUUUUGGAAAAGCAAUAAGUGUAUUGAU